rnacentral:rRNA from 1 species
UGAGGAAUAUUGGUCAAUGGACGAGAGUCUGAACCAGCCAAGUCGCGUGAAGGAUGACUGCCUUAUGGGUUGUAAACUUCUUUUGUAAGAGAGUAAAACAUGGGACGUGUCCCAAAUUGCAAGUAUCUUACGAAUAAGCAUCGGCUAACUCCGUGCCAGCAGCCGCGGUAAUACGGAGGAUGCGAGCGUUAUCCGGAUUUAUUGGGUUUAAAGGGUGCGCAGGCGGGCUUUUAAGUCAGCGGUGAAAUCCCCAAGCUUAACUUGGGCACUGCCGUUGAAACUGGGAGUCUUGAGUAUAGAUGAAGUAGGCGGAAUUCGUUGUGUAGCGGUGAAAUGCAUAGAUAUAACGAGGAACCCCGAUGGCGUAGGCAGCUUACUAAACUAUAACUGACGCUCAUGCACGAAAGCGUGGGUAUCCAACA